UGGGAUCUAUUAUUGUGCAUU
rnacentral:piRNA from 1 species